CAGGCCUAACACAUGCAAGUCGAACGAUGCUUUCGGGCAUAGUGGCGCACGGGUGCGUAACGCGUGGGAAUCUGCCCCUUGGUUCGGGAUAACCGUUGGAAACGACGGCUAAUACCGGAUGACGACGAGAGUCCAAAGAUUUAUCGCCGAGGGAUGAGCCCGCGUAGGAUUAGCUAGUUGGUGGGGUAAAGGCCUACCAAGGCGACGAUCCUUAGCUGGUCUGAGAGGAUGAUCAGCCACACUGGGACUGAGACACGGCCCAGACUCCUACGGGAGGCAGCAGUGGGGAAUAUUGGACAAUGGGCGAAAGCCUGAUCCAGCAAUGCCGCGUGAGUGAUGAAGGCCUUAGGGUUGUAAAGCUCUUUUACCCGGGAUGAUAAUGACAGUACCGGGAGAAUAAGCCCCGGCUAACUCCGUGCCAGCAGCCGCGGUAAU
rnacentral:rRNA from 1 species